rnacentral:tRNA from 7 species
UCCCCAAUAGCUCAGUUGGUAGAGCGGUGGACUGUUAAUCCAUGUGUCGUUGGUUCAAGCCCAACUUGGGGAGCCA